rnacentral:rRNA from 1 species
AUACGGAGGGUGCAAGCGUUAAUCGGAAUUACUGGGCGUAAAGCGCACGUAGGCGGCUUGUUAAGUCAGAUGUGAAAGCCCCGGGCUCAACCUGGGAACUGCAUUUGAUACUGGCAGGCUAGAGUAUGGUAGAGGCAAGUGGAAUUCCGGGUGUAGCGGUGAAAUGCGUAGAUAUCCGGAGGAACACCAGUGGCGAAGGCGACUUCCUGGACCAAUACUGACGCUGAGGUGCGAAAGCGUGGGGAGCAAACAGGAUUAGAUACCCUAGUAGUCC